rnacentral:lncRNA from 1 species
ACUGCCCAAAUGACCAGAUUGACCCCAUAAGAACCCCUAUAAAUAGAGGGCACCCCCCACUCAUUAAAGGGAGGAUUUUUGGAGAAGAAGAAUUCCUAGCGAAGCAGAGCUCUGCACACUUGAGUUCCGGUCCGGUUUCCCGCGGAGUUCCCCGCUUGGCGCUUGCUUGCGCGUCUUGGAGUACUGGUCGGGUUUCACCCCCAUCAAUAAGUGUCAGUAGUUGUUUAUAGGUGGCAUUUGAUGUGUUUCACAGGUAAUAGAUUACAGAAUAUAAAGGGAAAAAGACAACCGAGAUAACGACGGGUACUUGAAAUGUGUUUCAGAGGAAGAAAGUCGUU